CGGCCUGGCGGCGUGCCUAACACAUGCAAGUCAACUUGAGGGAAGGAGCAAUCUGACCUGAUGGUGGCGGCAAGGGUGCGUAACGCGUAAGUAACUUGCCCCAAGGUAAGGAAUAACGUCGAGAAAUCGGCGCUAAUACCUCAUAAUGCAGCGGAUCCGCAUGGAUAUGUUGUUAAAGGUUUACCGCCUUGGGAUAGGCUUGCGUCUGAUUAGCUAGUUGGUGUGGUAAUGGCACACCAAGGCUACGAUCAGUAACUGGUCUGAGAGGAUGAUCAGUCACACUGGAACUGAGACACGGUCCAGACUCCUACGGGAGGCAGCAGUGAGGAAUAUUGGGCAAUGCACGAAAGUGUGACCCAGCAACGCCGCGUGGAGGAUGAAGGUAUUCUAUAUCGUAAACUCCUGUGAGAGCAGACGAAAGACAGAUUAUUAAUUUGGAUGACUGUAUGCUCAGAGGAAGCCCCGGCUAACUACGUG
rnacentral:rRNA from 1 species